ACGUUCUGCCCAUAGGCUGGUGAGGAGGCUCGCCCUGCUGGGUCUGGGUAGUUCCACAGACGUCCCCCCGCAGCCCUGGGACAAGUCAGUGGUGACAUGGUGACAUCUCCUUCGUCUGGGUAAGAGUCUUAAGAGACCCAAGCUCAGCGCGCCUCACCUGUUCCUGACUCCUACAGCCGUCCUAGCACACAGCCAGCCAUCUGCCUGUGAUACCUGGAUUAGUUUC
rnacentral:lncRNA from 1 species